UGCCGACUGUUUAAUUAAAANAUUGUGAAGCAGAAUUCACCAAGUGUUGGAUUGUUCACCCACCAAUAGGGAACGUGAGCUGGGUUUAGACCGUCGUGAGACAGGUU
rnacentral:rRNA from 16 species